CAAAGGAUAGUUUAAUAAAAAUAUUAGUUUUGGGAAUUAAUGAUAAGAAUUUCUUUCCUUUGA
rnacentral:tRNA from 1 species